GCUUAAUGAGCAUGAUGCUGAAGAUAUCAAGGUGGUAAUUUACCUUAAAAUAUUAGUAAAAAAAUUAA
rnacentral:tRNA from 1 species